UACGGGGGGGGCAAGCGUUGUUCGGAAUUACUGGGCGUAAAGGGCUCGUAGGCGGCCAACUAAGUCAGACGUGAAAUCCCUCGGCUUAACCGGGGAACUGCGUCUGAUACUGGAUGGCUUGAGUUUGGGAGAGGGAUGCGGAAUUCCAGGUGUAGCGGUGAAAUGCGUAGAUAUCUGGAGGAACACCAAUAGCGAAGGCAGCUCGCUGGGACGGUACUGACGCUGAGGCGCGAAAGCGUGGGGAGCGAACAGG
rnacentral:rRNA from 1 species